CACAAGAAGAGCUCAGACUCAGGGUUCCAUCUGUCAGUACAAAACCAGAUUUGGCUGCAAGCUACCAUUUCAGUAAAACCCAGAAGACCUGAGCAGAAUUACAUUGUUGUGAUUCCAGUUUGGUGACACUGUCCCAAACAACAUGCUCUGGUUUGAGAUAGGUAUGGAAAAGAAGGCAAGACCAGACCGCUGUGAAGCAGACAAGAGUUUUCUCAUUGACAUCAAUAGGUAUCCAGCCUUUAAGUAUCUAAUUGUUUCUCUAUUCUUUCUU